rnacentral:rRNA from 1 species
GGUGCUCGAGUAGCGAACGGGUGAGUAACACGUGAGUAACCUGCCCUUGACUUUGGGAUAACUUCAGGAAACUGGGGCUAAUACCGGAUAGGAGCUCCUGCUGCAUGGUGGGGGUUGGAAAGUUUCGGCGGUUGGGGAUGGACUCGCGGCUUAUCAGCUUGUUGGUGGGGUAGUGGCUUACCAAGGCUUUGACGGGUAGCCGGCCUGAGAGGGUGACCGGCCACAUUGGGACUGAGAUACGGCCCAG